rnacentral:snRNA from 1 species
GUGCUUGCUUUUACAGAAUAUAUACUAAAAUUGGAUAGAUACGGAGAUUAGUAUGGCCCCUGUACAAGGAUGAAUACAAAUUUAUCAAACAUUCCAUAUUUAA